UUGCAGAAAUGUUGAAAGUGGUUACUAGUAAUCACACAAACUCAAACUUCCAGAAUUUUCCUCAUUGUUACGUAAUCCAUUGUUUGCUCAUCACAAAUGACCUCAUAUGCAACUGUAGGCUACUUCACCUAUGUGGAUUAUUUCCCUUAUUCAAUAUAUGUCAAAUAUACUAAGCAUUACUUGUAGAUUUUACAUUGUUUUUAUCUUCUAGUGUUCUGAUUAAAGAAAUAUAAUUUUGUGUUUUCAAAAUUAAAAUCGGCUCUGCACCAGCAAAGUGCCCACCUUAACGGGCAAGUGGAAGGAACACCUCUGAGAAGGCCUCAUCCCAUCUCCUCCAGGUGAAUUCCCCAAUUAAGGGUGAAGCUUCAUUAGACUGCUUUCCAAUACACUUACCAAACCGAGUUAAGAGAAUUCUCACAGGAAAAGCUAUGAAAAGUGCUUUUACCUCCUGAGAGCUGAUGGCACAGCAAAAUCAAAAUCAGCUCCAAAACACAAAAGGGAUUAACAAAAAUAUUAAAAAAUAUAUAAAAUUAAAAAAAC